AGAUCGGAGAACAGUUCUGGACACAGGACUGUUCACAGCGCUGUGAGUGUUUUGCCCCCAAUGACCUUCGCUGUAUCCAGUCCUCUUGCCCCCCAAGUCAGGAAUGCUCUGUCAAAGAUGGCCGCCGGGGUUGCUAUGGUCGCUUGUCAGCCUGCACGGUCUGGGGAGACCCCCACUACUUCACCUUUGAUGGGGCUGUGGCUCACUUUCAGGGCACCUGUGCUUAUGAGAUUACCCACACCUGUGGCAACAUGAGUGAUGAUGCCUUGACCUUCCGCGAUAGUAGCCGCUAACAGUCACCGUGGCAACUUAAUUGUGUCUUUUGUGUCCACUGUGGAUGUGUGGCUCUCUCAGGGAGGAGUUCAAAGCCACAUCAGCAUUGGACAGAACAGGAGAGUCAAGAUUGAUGGCCAAGAUAACAAUGCAAACAGCAUUCACGUUGGCUCCCUGGCACAGUUGACUCGUGAGUCUGGAUUUGUGGUUGUGAAUGCCUCAGGAGAGUUGGUGGUCCAGUUUGAUGGUCGUAGUAGACUUCUAGUCAGACUGAGUCCAGAUUAUCACCAAUCUGUGUGUGGAAUGUGUGGCAAUCACAAUGGCAACCCAGCAGACGACAAAGUUCUGCCCAAUGGCACUCUGGCCCAGACUGACAGGGAAUUCGGUCAAAGUUGGAAAUCAGAUGCAAGCAGUCCUGGAUGUGGAGCAAGUGACCGAAUUGGUGACGACACGUGUGUAUUUGAAGCAGAAUACACAGAUCUGUGCAGCAUCAUCACCAACAGCAGUGGCCCAUUCCAGCAGUGCCACCUGCAUGUUGACCCACAGGCGUACUUCACUUCCUG